GAAUUACAAAAGAAAUGCAUAUACAAAAGCAGACUUGCAAUGCACGAAUGCAUAUACAAAAGAGAUUGGCUCUGCAGUUGGUGGUACUUAUUUUGGCUCAUGAAUUGGAGGUAGUAGAGGAUGCAGAAUGCAAGUUUAUUUGAAGCCAAGUUUCAUUCAAGGUCAUUGAGUUGGGUAGAUAGAAGUAAUGUUUUGUAUAUGACAAUAUUGAACAAAUAUGUAAAGUUUUCGAAAUGUUGAUACAUAUAUGGUAAAGUGUUAAUAUAUGUUAAAGUUUUGGAA